UAUUAUUCAUCCUUCUCCUUCACCCUACCCCUUUGCGUAAAAUAUUUCGCCUGGUUGCCAUGGUGGAGAGGUCAUACCCGUUCC
rnacentral:rRNA from 1 species